AGAGUUUGAUCAUGGCUCAGGACAAACGCUGGCGGCGUGUAUUAGGCAUGCAAGUCGCACGGACACUUCGGUGUCAGUGGCGGACGGGUGAGUAACACGUGGGUAACCUGCCCUGCAGUGGGGAAUAACUCGCCGAAAGGCGAGCUAAUACCGCAUACCACUCCUGGUGAGAGUCCAGGUAGUAAAAGCCGUAAGGCGCUGUAGGAGGGGCUCGCGCCCGAUUAGCUUGUUGGUGGGGUAACGGCCUACCAAGGCGACGAUCGGUAGCUGGUCUGAGAGGAUGGUCAGCCACACGGGGACUGAGAUACGGCCCCGACUCCUACGGGAGGCAGCAGCUAAGAAUCUUGCGCAAUGGGCGAAAGCCUGACGCAGCAACGCCGCGUGGGGGACGAAGGCCCUCGGGUCGUAAACCCCUUUUGCGAGGGAAGAAGUUCUGACGGUACCUCGCGAAUAAGCCACGGCUAACUACGUGCCAGCCGCCGCGGUAAUAC
rnacentral:rRNA from 1 species